UACGGAGGGUGCGAGCGUUGUCCGGAUUUAUUGGGCUUAAAGGGUGCGUAGGUGGUUUCUUAAGUCUGGUUUGAAAGUCGGCGGCUUAACCGUUGGAUGUGGCUGGAAACUGGGGGACUUGAAUGGGCUGGAGGUCACUGGAACGGGUCAUGUAGCGGUGAAAUGCAUAGAUAUGACCCAGAACACCAAUUGCGAAGGCAGGUGACUGCGGUCUGAUUGACACUGAGGCACGAGAGCAUGGGGAGCGAACAGG
rnacentral:rRNA from 1 species